GAUGAACGCUGGCGGCGUGCCUAAUACAUGCGAGUCGAGCGAACAGAUAAGGAGCUUGCUCCUUUGACGUUAGCGGCGGACGGGUGAGUAACACGUGGGUAACCUACCUAUAAGACUGGGAUAACUUCGGGAAACCGGAGCUAAUACCGGAUAACAUUUGGAACCGCAUGGUUCUAAAGUGAAAGAUGGUUUUGCUAUCACUUAUAGAUGGACCCGCGCCGUAUUAGCUAGUUGGUAGGGUAACGGCUUACCAAGGCGACGAUACGUAGCCGGCCUGAGAGGAUGACGAGCCACACUGGAACUGAGACACGGUCCAGACUCCUACGGGAGGCAGCAGUGGGGAAUAUUGCACAAUGGGCGCAAGCCUGAUGCAGCCAUGCCGCGUGUAUGAAGAAGGCCUUCGGGUUGUAAAGUACUUUCAGCGGGGAGGAAGGGAGUAAAGUUAAUACCUUUGCUCAUUGACGUUACCCGCAGAAGAAGCACCGGCUAACUCCGUG
rnacentral:rRNA from 1 species